rnacentral:rRNA from 11 species
UGGGGUUGAAACAACCUUAACCUAUUCUCAAACUUUAAAUAUGUAAGAAGCCCUUGUUACUUAAGUGAACGUGGGCAUGCGAAUGAGAGUUUCUAGUGGGCCAUUUUUGGUAAGCAGAACUGGCGAUGCGGGAUGAACCGAACGCGAGGUUAAGGUGCCGGAAUGCACGCUCAUCAGACACCACAAAAGGUGUUAGUUCAUCUAGACAGCAGGACGGUGGCCAUGGAAGUCGGAAUCC